UUGAUCCUGGCUCAGGAUGAACGCUAGCGGCAGGCUUAACACAUGCAAGUCGAGGGGUAGAGUAGCAAUACUUGAGACCGGCGCACGGGUGCGUAACGCGUAUGCAAUCUACCUUUUACAGAGGGAUAGCCCAGAGAAAUUUGGAUUAAUACCUCAUAGUAUUGUGAAGUGGCAUCACUUUAUAAUUAAAGUCACAACGGUAAAAGAUGAGCAUGCGUCCCAUUAGCUAGUUGGUAAGGUAACGGCUUACCAAGGCUACGAUGGGUAGGGGUCCUGAGAGGGAGAUCCCCCACACUGGUACUGAGACACGGACCAGACUCCUACGGGAGGCAGCAGUGAGGAAUAUUGGACAAUGGGCGCAAGCCUGAUCCAGCCAUGCCGCGUGCAGGAUGACGGUCCUAUGGAUUGUAAACUGCUUUUAUACGAGAAGAAACACUACUUCGUGAAGUAGCUUGACGGUAUCGUAAGAAUAAGGAUCGGCUAACUCCGUGCCAGCAGCCGCGGUAAUACGGAGGAUCCAAGCGUUAUCCGGAAUCAUUGGGUUUAAAGGGUCCGUAGGCGGUUUAGUAAGUCAGUGGUGAAAGCCCAUCGCUCAACGGUGGAACGGCCAUUGAUACUG
rnacentral:rRNA from 1 species